GUGGAAUUAGCGUGUCUUCUGUGGAGAGGAUUCCAUUACGGUGCCCUGAAUUCCGAAAGUGCGGGAAAAAGGGUACAGUGGUGGUGGCGAGCCAACCAAAAGAAAAUAUAUUACGUGAUAAACUGUUUUUUGACUGGUUAGUGAAUUGGUAAUGGUCAAAGAAAUUAACUGCUAAGGCAAGAGUUGAUAGGAAAACUCUGUGUUUGGUUGCUAAAUUCACAAUUGAAAGAGAAAAGAAAAAGAAAAAAUUGACCAUAGGAAGGUGCCAGUUGAUACAAGCUAAGAAUCCGUUUCGGAGAAACUAAAGUCCUAAUGCCUCACCAUGAGUUUUGGUACCGCCUUUCUGAUGAUAUAAAUAUGUUGUGAAUCCCUUGUUUCUUUGCACUCGUGAUCCACUACACCCAUUGUC